CAGGAUCUUCAGGGCGGGGUGCAAUUCCCCACCGGUGGUAUAGCCCACGAGCCGCAAGGCAUGAUUCGGUGAAAUUCCGAGGCCGACAGUACAGUCUGGAUGAAAGAAGAUCAUG
rfam:Oscillibacter sp. CAG:155 genomic scaffold, scf34